rnacentral:tRNA from 1 species
GGAGAGGUGUCCGAGCGGUUUAAGGAGCACGCCUGGAGAGCGUGUGUGCGUCUCGAUGGCGUACCGUGGGUUCGAAUCCCACCCUCUCCG